UACGGGGGGGGCAAGCGUUGUUCGGAAUUACUGGGCGUAAAGGGCUCGUAGGCGGCCAACUAAGUCGGACGUGAAAUCCCUCGGCUCAACCGGGGAACUGCGUCCGAUACUGGAUGGCUCGAGUUCGGGAGAGGGAUGCGGAAUUCCAGGUGUAGCGGUGAAAUGCGUAGAUAUCUGGAGGAACACCGGUGGCGAAGGCGGCAUCCUGGACCGACACUGACGCUGAGGAGCGAAAGCCAGGGGAGCGAACGGA
rnacentral:rRNA from 1 species